rnacentral:rRNA from 1 species
UACGGAGGAUCCGAGCGUUAUCCGGAUUUAUUGGGUUUAAAGGGAGCGUAGGCGGCUUAGUAAGUCAGAAGUGAAAGCCCGCAGCUCAACUGCGGGACUGCUUUUGAAACUGCCAGGCUAGAGUGUCGGAGAGGUAAGUGGAAUUCCUAGUGUAGCGGUGAAAUGCGUAGAUAUUAGGAGGAACACCGGUGGCGAAGGCGGCUUACUGGACGACAACUGACGGUGAGGCUCGAAAGCGUGGGUAUCGAACAGG